GAAAGAUGUCGUACGAUCGUCGUGUACUGUCAAGCGGAGUAUUUGUCUAUCUCCUGCCAUUGUUACUGUUUUUGACGAUUGCAGAAUGUAGGCCACUGUUUGGCUUGUUAGAUUUAUUCGGCGCCAGUGAAUUCGCAAAUGGGACAUCCUUGAUCUCGUCCCUAUUCCAGGCACAUCUUCAGCAUACACUUGAGAAGUUUCUAGCACUUGCUGAUGUUGCUCAACUAGUUCUUAACAAUACCGCUUCCGGAUAAAUAUUAAUAAAGAUUAAGCCAAGGACAUUUCGUCUGCAAAAUGGUCGCAGUAUAGUUUAUUAUAUAUCGCAUGAGAAUAAAUAAAAAUAAAUAAAUAUCCUAA